AACAGUAAAACAAGGAAGCAUGUGAUGUUUACUUUUGUUUAACUACCUUUGUUUAACGAUGAAGGGAUCUGAGACUUGUAAUACUGUUUACUGAUUUGAUGAUAUUCCUUGUUCCUUUGAUGGUUCAUUCCACUAUACAGCUGUUUCAUAUACCAUACAACAGCCAGGAAGUUGGCCUGUUUACUUUAAGAUCCCAAGAAAAUGUAACAUAUUUUGGAUGUGCUUUGAGGAAUCAGGAAUGCAAGUGUUUCCUCUUGUUUAUGAAGCAACUCAGUUGGUUAAGGGGCAGACAACUU
rnacentral:lncRNA from 1 species